rnacentral:ncRNA from 1 species
AUAUUAUUUAUGCCUCUAACUGGAACGUACCUUGAGCAUAUAUGCUGUGACCCGAAAGAUGGUGAACUAUACUUGAUCAGGUUGAAGUCAGGGGAAACCCUGAUGGAAGACCGAAACAGUUCUGACGUGCAAAUCGAUUGUCAGAAUUGAGUAUAGGGGCGAAAGACCAAUCGAACCAUCUAGUAGCUGGUUCCUUCCGAAGUUUCCCUCACGAUAGCUGGUGCAUUUAACUGUUGUAUAAAAUAAUCUUAUCUGGUAAAGCGAAUGAUUAGAGGCCUUAGGGUCGAAACGAUCUUAACCUAUUCUCAAACUUUAAAUGGGUAAGAACCUUAACUUUCUUGAUAUGAAGUUUAAGGUUAUGAUAUAAUGUGCCCAGUGGGCCACUUUUGGUAAGCAGAACUGGCGCUGUGGGAUGAACCAAACGUAAUGUUACGGUGCCCAAAUUAACAACUCAUACAGAAACCAUGAAAGGCGUUGGUUGCUUAAAACAACCGGACGGUGAUCUUGGAAGUCGAAAUCCGCUACAGAGUGUGUAACAACCCACCUGCCGGAAGCACCUACCCCUUAAAAUGUGUGGCGCUUAAGUUUUAUACUUUUCCUUUUCCCAUAAAGUAAAAGGGUUAUUUUUCUUGUAAUAUAAAUUUUUAAACUUUAUGGAGAAAGAAGGGAACAAUGGGUGUCCUAAAAAUUUGUUUUGGCGUAACCCGCCCUGGAAACCCCCCAAUGGUUC